CUUGGCGGUCAUAGCGAAGAGGUCACACCCGUUCCCAUCCCGAACACGGUCGUUAAGCUCUUCUGUGCCGAAGGUAAUUGGGGGCUGUCCCCCUGUGAGAGUAGGUCACUGCCAGGC
rfam:Sporolactobacillus inulinus 5S ribosomal RNA.